rnacentral:tRNA from 48 species
AGGGGUAUAGUUUAAAGGUAGAACGAAGGUCUCCAAAACCUUUGGUGUGGGUUCAAUUCCUACUACCCCUGCCA